rnacentral:rRNA from 1 species
UACGUAGGGUGCAAGCGUUGUCCGGAAUUAUUGGGCGUAAAGGGCUCGUAGGCGGUUUGUCGCGUCGGGAGUGAAAACCCCGGGCUUAACUCGGUGCUUGCUUUCGAUACGGGCAGACUGGAGGUAUGCAGGGGAGAACGGAAUUCCUGGUGUAGCGGUGAAAUGCGCAGAUAUCAGGAGGAACACCGGUGGCGAAGGCGGUUCUCUGGGCAUGAUCUGACGCUGAGGAGCGAAAGUGUGGGGAGCGAACAGG